rnacentral:misc_RNA from 1 species
ACCUUUCGAAAAACAGGGUGCGUCGCGGCCCCCUCCGGGGGCGGUUUGGGGUCCUCCCCUUCACGCGCGCACGACUGCAUCCUUACUUUACGAGCACCUUCUGUUCUCCCUCGGCGGGGCAACCUGCCGUUGGAACCGAAUAAACCCUUUUUUGCAUCCAGCAUUACCCGUUCCGAAACAAACAAUCGUUA